UUCUUUCGGGAUGAAGACUUUUAUGACUGAGUGGCGGACGGGUGAGUAACGCGUGGGUAACCUGCCUCACACAGGGGGAUAACAGUUAGAAAUGACUGCUAAUACCGCAUAAGACCACAGCACCGCAUGGUGCAGGGGUAAAAACUCCGGUGGUAUGAGAUGGACCCGCGUCUGAUUAGCUAGUUGGUGAGGUAACGGCUUACCAAGGCAACGAUCAGUAGCCGACUUGAGAGAGUGAUCGGCCACAUUGGGACUGAGACACGGCCCAAACUCC
rnacentral:rRNA from 1 species